rnacentral:rRNA from 1 species
CUACGGAGGGUGCGAGCGUUAAUCGGAAUUACUGGGCGUAAAGGGUGCGUAGGCGGCUUGAUAAGUCGGAUGUGAAAGCCCCGGGCUUAACCUGGGAAUUGCAUUCGAUACUGUCAGGCUAGAGUAUGUCAGAGGCUGGCGGAAUUCCUGGUGUAGCGGUGAAAUGCGUAGAUAUCAGGAGGAACACCAGUGGCGAAGGCGGCUAACUGGGACAAUACUGACGCUGAGGCACGAAAGCGUGGGGAGCAAACAGGAUUAGAAACCCCAGUAGUCC